rnacentral:rRNA from 1 species
ACGUCUACCAUUACGAUACCCGUGUAGUCCCAGCCGUAAACUAUGCGCGUUAGGUGUAUCGGUGACCACGAGUCACCGAGGUGCCGGAAGGGAAACCGUGAAACGUGCCGCCUGGAAGUACGGUCGCAAGGCUGAAACUUAAAGGAAUUGGCGGGGGAGCACCACAACAGGUGGAGCCUGCGGUUUAAUUGGACUCAACGCCGGGAAGCUCACCGGAUAGGACAGCAGAAUGAUUGCCGGGCUGAAGACCCUGCAUGACUAGCUG